GUGUUCAGACAAAUUCUUAGACAUUUUCUCUCUACAUAGUAUUCCUGUCUCCAUCGCAGCAGCAGCAGCAGCAGCAGCACUCUCAAUCACCCAGUGUGUGAUCAUGCAGUACACCAACAUCACCUGCUACUGGGAAGCAACUGACCACCAUCUGAACAUCAGCAGCUACACACUUCAGAUUAACAAAACCUCUUGUGAUAGUAAACACAGCUUCAUCCCGGUGGGGUUCUGUAAAACCAGAGGCUCUAACUGCUACGUUCAGCCCAUUGAUUCAGCGUUACACUGUUUCUGCGCAGAUGUGAUGGCGUCCACACGCAAUGGAGCCAUACGCUCACCGCCGUAUUUCUUUAAUGGGGUCAAUGCAGUGAAACUUCCUCCUCCACAGAUAAAAGCUCUCAAGCCAUCAGAGAGAAGGUCUGGGUGUUUGCAGGUGAUCUGGAGAAUGGCUGAGAGCUUUCCCAAGAAUGAGCAAGUCUACAUACUGCUCCAAAUGGAGUACACGACACACAACCAGACCCGAUCCCAGACUAUACAAGCGUUUUCCAAGGAGACGUUUGAGCUGUGUGACCUUCACCCAGGAUCCAAGUAUACAGUGAGACUGAGGACUCAGGACAAUCGAGCACACGCUCACUGGAGCUCGUGGACCUCUAUAGACACAACCACAGCAGAGAAAGGUGAGACUCUGACAUUUGAUGCUUACUAAGGC
rnacentral:lncRNA from 1 species